rnacentral:rRNA from 1 species
AGCAGCCGCGGUAAUUCCAGCUCCAAUAGCGUAUAUUAAAGUUGUUGCAGUUAAAAAGCUCGUAGUUGAAUUUCGGGAUCAAUUUAUCGGUCGUGCCUAUGGUAUGAACUGGUACAAUUGGUUUCUCCCUUCUGACGAAGCAUGAUGUCAUUAAUUUGGUGUCGUGGGGAAUCAGGACUGUUACUUUGAAAAAAUUAGAGUGUUUAAAGCAAGCAUUAGCUUGAAUACAUUAGCAUGGAAUAAUGAAAUAGGACGUUUGAUCCUAUUUCGUUGGUUUCUAGGAUCGACGUAAUGAUUAAUAGGGAUAGUUGGGGGCAUUAGUAUUCAAUUGUCAGAGGUGAAAUUCUUGGAUUUAUUGAAGACUAACUACUGCGAAAGCAUUUGCCAAGGAUGUUUUCAUUAAUCAAGAACGAAAGUUAGGGGAUCGAAGACGAUCAGAUACCGUCGCAGUCUUAACCAUAAACUAUGCCGACUAGGGAUCGGAUGAUGUUAAUUUUUUAAUGACUCA